rnacentral:rRNA from 1 species
AUUGAACGCUGGCGGCAGGCCUAACACAUGCAAGUCGAGCGGAGCGGCGGACGGGUGAGUAAUGCCUGGGAAUCUGCCUGGUAGUGGGGGAUAACGUCCGGAAACGGGCGCUAAUACCGCAUCCUAUCAACUGAGCCUAGGUCGGAUUAGCUAGUUGGUGGGGUAAAGGCCUACCAAGGCGACGAUCCGUAACUGGUCUGAGAGGAUGAUCAGUCACACUGGAACUGAGACACGGUCCAGACUCCUACGGGAGGCAGCAGUGGGGAAUAUUGGACAAUGGGCGAAAGCCUGAUGCAGCCAUGCCGCGUGUGUGAAGAAGGUCUUCGGAUUGUAAAGCACUUUAAGUUGGGAGGCGUUACCAACAGAAGAAGCACCGGCUAACUUCGUGCCAGCAGCCGCGGUAAUAC